rnacentral:rRNA from 1 species
AUUGAACGCUGGCGGCAUGCCUUACACAUGCAAGUCGAACGGCAGCACGGGGGCAACCCUGGUGGCGAGUGGCGAACGGGUGAGUAAUACAUCGGAACGUGUCCUUUCGUGGGGGAUAACCAGUCGAAAGACUGGCUAAUACCGCAUGAGAUCUCACGAUGAAAGCGAGGGACCGCAAGGCCUCGCGCGAUUGGAGCGGCCGAUGUCGGAUUAGCUAGUUGGCGGGGUAAAAGCCCACCAAGGCGACGAUCCGUAGCUGGUUUGAGAGAACGACCAGCCCCAUUGGGACUGAGACACGGCCCAGACUCCUACGGGAGGCAGCAGUGGGGAAUUUUGGACAAUGGGGGCAACCCUGAUCCAGCCGUGCCGCGUGUGUGAAGAAGGCUUUCGGGUUGUAAAGCACUUUCGGACGGAACGAAAUCGCCCGUGUUAACAGCGCGGGUGGAUGACGGUACCGUAAGAAGAAGCACCGGCUAACUACGUGCCAGCAGCCGCAGUAA